UACGUAGCGGGCAAGCGUUGUCCGGAAUUAUUGGGCGUAAAGAGCGUGUAGGCGGUCCGGUAAGUCAGCUGUGAAAGUCAAGGGCUCAACCCUUGAAUGCCGGUUGAUACUGUCGGGCUAGAGUCCGGAAGAGGCGAGUGGAAUUCCCGGUGUAGCGGUGAAAUGCGCAGAUAUCGGGAGGAACACCAAUGGCGAAGGCAGCUCGCUGGGACGGUACUGACGCUGAGGCGCGAAAGCGUGGGGAGCAAACAGG
rnacentral:rRNA from 1 species